AGGAUGAACGCUGGCGGCGUGCCUAAUACAUGCAAGUCGAGCGAACCACUUCGGUGGUGAGCGGCGAACGGGUGAGUAACACGUAGGUGCUCUGCCCAUCAGACGGGGACAACGAUUGGAAACGAUCGCUAAUACCGGAUAGGACGAAAGUUUAAAGGUGCUCCUGGCACCGCUGAUGGAUGAGCCUGCGGCGCAUUAGCUAGUUGGUAGGGUAAAGGCCUACCAAGGCGACGAUGCGUAGCCGACCUGAGAGGGUGAACGGCCACACUGGGACUGAGACACGGCCCAGACUCCUACGGGAGGCAGCAGUGGGGAAUUUUGCGCAAUGGGGGAAACCCUGACGCAGCAACGCCGCGUGGAGGAUGAAGCCCCUUGGGGUGUAAACUCCUUUCGACCGGGAAAAUAAUGAUGGUACCGGUGGAAGAAGCACCGGCUAACUCUGUGCCAGCAGCCGC
rnacentral:rRNA from 1 species